AUUGAACGCUGGCGGCAGGCCUAACACAUGCAAGUCGAGCGGAUGAAGGGAGCUUGCUCCUGGAUUCAGCGGCGGACGGGUGAGUAAUGCCUAGGAAUCUGCCUGGUAGUGGGGGAUAACGUCCGGAAACGGGCGCUAAUACCGCAUACGUCCUGAGGGAGAAAGUGGGGGAUCUUCGGACCUCACGCUAUCAGAUGAGCCUAGGUCGGAUUAGCUAGUUGGUGGGGUAAAGGCCUACCAAGGCGACGAUCCGUAACUGGUCUGAGAGGAUGAUCAGUCACACUGGAACUGAGAAACGGUCCAGACUCCUACGGGAGGCAGCAGUGGGGAAUAUUGGACAAUGGGCGAAAGCCUGAUCCAGCCAUGCCGCGUGUGUGAAGAAGGUCUUCGGAUUUUAAAACACUUUAAGUUUGGAGGAAGGGCAGUAAGUUAAUACCUUGCUGUUUUGACGUUACCAACAGAAUAAGCACCGGCUAACUUCGUG
rnacentral:rRNA from 1 species